AGGAAGCAUUUUUUCACCAUGACAUGGGAAAGGGCCACAGAGAUCCAAAUGGAAACGGACAUUUCAUUUGAGUGACUGUUUCUACCCCACCUUGGCUUUAUGCCUAAUUCAACAGGCACUUAGGUGGCUGAAGAGGGAAAUUUUUGUUCAAGUGAAUCCAGUUCUGAGUUGGACACAGAGCCUUUUGACUGGCGGCCGAGUUUCUUGUGCUAGCUGGCAAAAUUAGCAAAUUUUUCUUUUAGUUGUUGUUGUGGGGUUUUGAAAAUAUCUCAUUUCCUGGCAACAGUUUUCUUUCUCCAGGAGAUAAAGGGAAACAACUCUUCCAUCUACACCAUGUAACACUUCUAUCAUCUUAGAAAGUAUUUUGUCAAACAGGCAGGAUCCCCUGAAGACUUACUCUGGUUCUACAUGGCCUCUCCACAGCUGGCUUAAAACCAAUGGUCUCAGGAAAGUCCUCCGUUGCCUGCUUGUGGAUGUCAGUGGGAGUCUGCAGGCUGUCAUCGGAAAGCUCAUCUUACAUGAAGCAAGAUAAAAUGUCUUGGGAAGGGCCAACUAUCAUGUGGAUGUAAUUAAUACACACCACUGUGGGAGUCAAAAAUAGUCUUCUACUCUGGGGGAAAGUGAAAUGACACAAUCUCUCUGGAUGGUAUUGUAGCACAAUAAGUUGAAAGAAGCAUGUCUAUACGAAGGACUCCUGAUCAUAAGAAAAUAUUUACAGGGUGCAAGAUUACUUCGGUGAUAUCUUGGAGCCCAGCGGGGUGCUGAUAUACAGCAGAUCACAUGUAGACUUAAUGAUCAGGAGCAGAAUAGAGCUGAAAAUCUUCUUGCGAUCCUACAGGGCAUUGGAUCCUCUCAGGAUUCAAAAUAAUCAGCAUCUGGAAUGAAAUGGUGGAAACAGUGAAAGGAAUGGGAGAGGAACUGAAUACCUUGAUACCUGCAUUCUACAAAGGGAAACAAUUCGGAAUCUGUUUGCCAUUUGACAAGAUGCUGGGGAUUGAAGCCAAGAUCUCAUGCAUUCUAGGCAAGCACUCUACCACUGAGCCAUAUCCCCAAACCCUGCCAUAAGCUCUUUAAAAGAGGAAACCCAUAAGUAAGAUGCAAAGUGCUACUUACUGUAGUUAUCCAGCACUCCUGUUUCCCACCGUCAUGUUUUCAGAAGAACAAAGAAAUGAUAAAAUUGUCCUGGAACCAGAGGUACUUGAAGGUGGUCAAGGGGUUGAGUUGAAUUCCCUAUGGUAUUUGACAUUUAUAUUGUUCAGCUGAGUUUGUUGUUGUCUGGAGUAAUAUUAAGUUGGGUUUCCAUUGUUUGGCACAGUUAAAAAAGCAAAUGGAUUUUUAAAUGUUGAAUAUCUAGCAAAUUAAGAAGUUGUAAAUCUUCAUGACCAAAGACAAUGAAGCAUUGCCAUAUGAUUAAAAAAAUCAGAAUUUAAAUCAACAACAAUUAUAUAUAAUUAUAUAUAUAUGUGUGUGUGUGUGUGUGUGUGUAUGUGUGUACUUUAACUUGUGGAAAAGUAAGAAAAUAUUAACAGGAAUUAACAAAAGUCCUUUAAAUAUUAUCUUAAUUAUUUACAAAACUAAUUUUUCCAUUGCAUAUUUACUAUGGAACCAUCGGGGUGUAUAACAAACAGAGUUUGAAUGACUGGUUAUCAGUUUUGGUAAAAAUUGGGUCUUAUAUUUUGCUGAUACAAUUUUCUUAUUGAGAAAUCUUCUUUGUUAUGAUUCCCAGGAAUAUUUUUUUAAAAAUACCUUUAUAAUAAACAAAAUAGCAAUAUAAAUUUUUAUGGAACUUUUAUUUUCAAAGGAUCCCAGAAUGCUUAUAAACUGUUAUUCAAACCAUAUACAGGAAUUGCUGAAGCAUAGCUACACUUUGGAGCCAGAAGACAAGCUGAAAUGUCAGUUAUAGAAGACCAGGACAUUCCUGCUCUGCAAGGGGUGUGGUCUGGGUGACCUAAUGGGGCAUUCUGGCUGUGCUUUCUGCGCUGCUGUGUGGGUGGAAUGCCUCUGCCUUGGAGCAGCACAAGGCCAGGCUGUAUGGCUGUGGGCAAAGGGAAGUGAAGGAGAAUCAGGUAGUGGAAAGAGGAGGCAUGAAAAAGGGGCUGUUUGUUACAUUCCCAUCACUAGGUGGCAGGGACUGGAACACAGUCACCGUUGGUUGGUUGAGACUCCUUGCACCUGGAGUAGAGUAACUCUGUCCCAGAUGCUAUUUGAGAAAAAUCACUUUGAUUGCCAAAUGAAAAUUCUUCUCUUAUGGGAAUGUUUUGGGAAAACCAAAAAUAAAAACUAACAACAAGUUAGACUGAUUCACAUACAGAAUCUCAAGAAUGUUAGAGUGGCAUGGACCUUAGAGAUAAUCUGGUUAAAUUCCUUCAUCUUUGUCUUUCAGAAAACUGGGACCCAUAGAGAGAAAAUGGUCAGAGCAAUACUUAGUUCAGAACUGUGCAGUUGGAAGAGAACCUAGCAUUCACUAGCUACAUCUGCCUUGCUAUUAUAGAAUGAUGUCUGAAACAUUUCUAAGAGUUCCUUCAGCAGUUGUGUUAAUAGAGAGGUACUCAUGACCUCCAAGAGCUGCCUUUCCCACUGUUGGUCAUCUUUUCUUAGAAAUCAUCUUCAUAAUAUUCAUUCUUCAUUGCUUUUACGUGCAUUUAAUGAGUGACAACUAUGUGUCUGGUAUUAAGUGUGAUACAUGCAUACAAAGUAGGAUAAUAACAAAACAAUAGAACCUAAUAAUUCUCAGGAGCACAUAUGUGUCAAUUACUUAUUGUUUUACACGUUUUUACUCAUUUACUCCUCAAAACAUGCUCAAGGAUUAGAAUCGUACUUUUUCUAUUUACAGAUAAGGAAAAGAACACAAAUUAUCUGCUAAAGCAAAACAGCUAGAGGAAAAGAGCACAAAUUAUCUGCCAAAGCAAAAGAGGUGGAGUCAAGGUUUAAAGCAGGCAUCAUUGCUAUAAAAGCCCACACACUUAACAGAAACACAGUGUUGCUCCUUAAGCCACCAACUAAACAAUCAUGCCAUAGCUGAUUAGUAUUAGUACAACAAGGUCAGUUAACAGGGCUCUGUAUGGGGUUUAAUGGGGGGGGGGGUCCCUGUUACCUGUAGUGCUCAGGGAGGAGCUUUACGAAGGAAGGGAAGACUACAAGGAACCGUUGAAGAGAGGAGCCAUCUUCAGAGGGAAAAACAGGCCAAAGUUUUCCUGAAUGAGGGGGGCAAAAUGUGCUGGAUUUUGAAGCACCAAUUUUCUGCCUCUAAAGAUUGCCAACUUAAUGCUGUCAUUUAACUACAUAGAGCAAAUUGAUUCUCUCCUUCCCUCCAUCUCUGUCUCUGUUUCUGUCUCUCUCUGUUUGGGAGUAAAGUAUGUUUUGUUUUUUCUUCCUUUGAAGAGCAUUAUAUAAACCAUUAAUCCCUACUUUUAUAAAAACAGACUUUUACCUGGUAAUAAAGAGUUUUGUAGAGACCAUUA